GUAGGUGGCAAGCGUUGUCCGGAAUUAUUGGGCGUAAAGCGCGCGCAGGGUGGUUCUUUAAGUCUGAUGUGAAAGCCCCCGGGCUCAACCGGGGAGGGUCAUUGGAAACUGGGGAACUUGAGUGCAGGAGAGGAAAGUGGAAUUCCACGUGUAGCGGUGAAAUGCGUAGAUAUGUGGAGGAACACCAGUGGCGAAGGCGACUUUCUGGCCUGUAACUGUCACUGAGGCGCGAAAGCGUGGGGAGCAAACAGGAUUAGAUACCCUGGUAGUCCACGCCGUAAACGAUGAGUGCUAAGUGUUGGGGGGUUUCCGCCCCCCGGUGCUGCAGCUAACGCAUUAAGCACUCCGCCUGGGGAGUACGGUCGCAAAGACUG
rnacentral:rRNA from 1 species